rnacentral:tRNA from 1 species
GGGAGCGUGGCCGAGAGGUUUAAGGCGUCAGGAUCAGAUUUAUUGUGGGGAUUGUUUUCUCAAAACCCCGCAAUGGUUUCAGAGCAACCUGAUUUUCUCCAUGAGAUUCCCUGGGUUCGAACCCCAGCGCUCCCA